CGGCAGCACGGAGCUUGCUCUGGUGGCGAGUGGCGAACGGGUGAGUAAUAUAUCGGAACGUACCCUAGAGUGGGGGAUAACGUAGCGAAAGUUACGCUAAUACCGCAUACGAUCUAAGGAUGAAAGUGGGGGAUCGCAAGACCUCAUGCUCGUGGAGCGGCCGAUAUCUGAUUAGCUAGUUGGUAGGGUAAAAGCCUACCAAGGCAUCGAUCAGUAGCUGGUCUGAGAGGACGACCAGCCACACUGGAACUGAGACACGGUCCAGACUCCUACGGGAGGCAGCAGUGGGGAAUUUUGGACAAUGGGCGAAAGCCUGAUCCAGCAAUGCCGCGUGAGUGAAGAAGGCCUUCGGGUUGUAAAGCUCUUUUGUCAGGGAAGAAACGGUGAGAGCUAAUAUCUUUUGCUAAUGACGGUACCUGAAGAAUAAGCACCGGCUAACUACGUGCCAGCAGCCGCGGUAAUACGUAGGGUGCAAGCGUUAAUCGGAAUUACUGGGCGUAAAGCGUGCGCAGGCGGUUUUGUAAGUCUGAUGUGAAAUCCCCGGGCUCAACCUGGGAAUUGCAUUGGAGACUGCAAGGCUAGAAUCUGGCAGAGGGGGGUAGAAUUCCACGUGUAGCAGUGAAAUGCGUAGAUAUGUGGAGGAACACCGAUGGCGAAGGCAGCCCCCUGGGUCAAGAUUGACGCUCAUGCACGAAAGCGUGGGGAGCAAACAGGAUUAGAUACCCUGGUAGUCCACGCCCUAAACGAUGUCUACUAGUUGUCGGGUCUUAAUUGACUUGGUAACGCAGCUAACGCGUGAAGUAGACCGCCUGGGGAGUACGGUCGCAAGAUUAAAACUCAAAGGAAUUGACGGGGACCCGCACAAGCGGUGGAUGAUGUGGAUUAAUUCGAUUGCAACGCCGAAAAACCUUACCUACCCUUGACAUGGCUGGAAUCCUUGAGAGAUCAGGGAGUGCUCGAAAGAGAACCAGUACACAGGUGCUGCAUGGCUGUCGUCAGCU
rnacentral:rRNA from 1 species